UACGGGGGGGGCAAGCGUUGUUCGGAAUUACUGGGCGUAAGGGCUCGUAGGGGGCCAACUAAGUCAGACGUGAAAUCCCUCGGCUUAACCGGGGAACUGCGUCUGAUACUGGAUGGCUUGAGUUCGGGAGAGGGAUGCGGAAUUCCAGGUGUAGCGGUGAAAUGCGUAGAUAUCUGGAGGAACACCGGUGGCGAAGGCGGCAUCCUGGACCGACACUGACGCUGAGGAGCGAAAGCCAGGGGAGCAAACGGG
rnacentral:rRNA from 1 species